GGGUGUUCGGGUCGAGAUGUGCUGCAUUGUCAUUGUAGGAUUGAAUUGCCCUUAGUAGUGGCGCGUUAGAACCGUAGGAUGUCCUCGACCGCGGGACAGUUAGGCCCAACGAAGGCGUCGAUAGGGGGCUGCAAAGUGUAACUGAGCCAGCAGGCCUGGGGCAUCGAUGCGGCCACUGAUUAGGCUCGAGAUGAAGCAGCAUUGCGCUACUACCUGACGUGAUUGAAUGGAGUCCAAUCCUAAAAGCAACCGUCGUCCUCGACUACAAGAUUAGAUUAUGUAAUGGAAACUGCGACUUAACGGCAACAUUAAAGUAAAAGCAACAACCUCAACAAGAAUCGUGGAAGGCGAGCCAACAUCAUGUGAGAUGUGAAACAUGUCUCAACUGCAGACCACAGAAAACGCUUCGCGGCAUCCAUAAAACAACGAGUAGAAUAUCAAUUACCAACGAGAAGAUAUCGAGUGCGAUUCAUCUAGUCUCAAGAAUGAAUCACAGCUCAAAGGGAAGCCCAAUUCUUCGUCGCGUUUGAUACUCCAUCAGCUUCAGGUCAACCCUCUCUAUUAUGGCAGAGCAUCGAUUGGAAACAGUUUCUUCUUCAAUGGAAAUCUGCUGGAGGAAGGAACUAUGUAUUUUAUAAAUAAUAUUAAGAAGUACGUUGUUAUUAGUUCAUAGUUAUUAGGAUAAUAGUGUAGGGGAUAGGAAUGAACAGCGUUGGUGGUUUUAUAUCCUUAAGCCAAAUCGCAGUUUGAUCGCUUCAACGAUCCGCCCCAAUCUUAGCAAAAAGAAAACCAUGUUAUGCUGCAAACCAUGCGUGUAUGAAACGAUCGCUUCAUCAUCUGCUACAAAAAACGACAACGGCAUUCAAUUGAAUUCAACGACAACAGACAACGUUGUACAACAACAUGACCAUAGAAA